AUGUCGACGCCACGGACGCUGGGCGAGCUGCAGCUGUACCGUGUGCUGCAGAGGGCCAACCUGCUCAUGUACUACGACACCUUCAUCCAGCAGGGUGGCGAUGAUGUGCAGCAGCUGUGUGAGGCCGGAGAAGAGGAAUUCCUCGAGAUCAUGGCUCUGGUCGGGAUGGCAACGAAGCCCCUGCACGUGCGGCGCUUGCAGAAAGCUCUGCGCGACUGGGCCGCAAAUCCUGCCGUUUUCAACCAACCUCUGACCUCGGCCAUGGGAGGAAUCCCGCUUUUUAAAAUCGACAGCAUCAUGGGCUCGAGGAAGUCCUUAACCAACGGCCAACCGGCGUCCCCGUGCGACAGGGAAGAUCAGGGAGCUUGUCUGACUCCGCUCCGAGACAAUGGCAGUCCGAGGAGCCCAUGCUCCCAGGCAUCCCCUCUUCCUCCAGAUCAUCAUCUUUACAGGGACAAACUGUCCCCCAUGGAGCCUCACUGGCUCAGUCCGGAAUUAGACGGAAGCGUCGGAGCAGAGGAAGACCAGCCCAGUCCGCCUUUGCCUCUUUUGGUCCACUCCCGGAACAUAGGUCCCUCGACGCCACCCACAUCUUCCUCCUCAUCCUCCUCCCCUUGGCCUGGAGGACAGCUGGAUGCAGACACGGUGAAGGCGGUAGGGGAAAGCGUGGAGCGUCUGUUCAGGACGGUGCCGCACACAGACCCAGCCGAGGUCAAGAGUCUCCUCAGGCUGAAUAAGAAGAUGGCCAAGACGGUGGGUCACAUUUUCAACAUGGAGCCACACGACAAGAGCAAAGAGGAGGAGAUCCGCAAGUACAGCCUCAUCUACGGCCGCUUUGACUCCAAGAGGAGGGAGGGCAAGCAGCUGACACACCACGAGAUGAUCAUCAACGAAGCGGCGGCGCAGUUCUGCAUACGUGACAACGCGCUGUUAUUGAGACGGGUCGAGCUUUUCUCACUGGCUCGGCAGGUGGCGAGGGAAUGCGCCUACACCUCCACUCUGAAACACAGCAGGACCAACCCUGAGGACUGUACCAAUUCCUUUACAGACAACAGCGCUCCGAAAAGAAUCAAACUCGAGGUCACAGAUUCAGACAGUAUUAACCCGAUACGUGGAUCGAAAAGUGCUGACGUAGUGAUUCACCCCGGCCUCAGGUCAGCAGCAGACGACGACAGCUUGUCAGGAGAAAGUCUGGACAGUUUAUCUCACGAUGUAGGGCCUCACUCUCUCCCCUCGUCAUCCCCCCGUCCCCUUGCCGACACCAUCGGCCCCGUCACCUGGAGUCGCCAGCUCAUGCAGCAAACGCUCAUGGAUGAAGGCCUGCGAUUGGCUAGAAUGGUGUCACGUGACCACGCGGCCAAGGUCAGCCUAGGGUCAGAGAAGAGACAGACUUCAGUCUCAUCUUACACAAGAUCAGUGGAUUGGCUCUGUUUUACUUUGGACGCUGGGAAGAGGUUUGAUUGACAGCUCUAAAUCCCGCCCUACUAUUUGCCAUGGCUGUUAUAUUUGUGAAAAUGAAAAAAACAACAGCAGCAACAACAACAGCAACAACAGCAGCAGCAGCAGCCUAAAACAUACAUAUGAUUCCUGCUGCAGUUUUACGCAGAGCCAGAGGGCCGAGCAUCAGACAGACGAGGCUUAAACGCGUCCCACCAGAGCAGCAGCCCUGCCAGCACCAAAGACGACCCUUAAAGGGACACCAGCAGGAGCCAGAAGUUGCCUUGCUGCUCAACUCAGGUCUCAUACGACUCGAACCCUCCGGAGAUUUUCACACCCGCUUUCCUAAAACUGUCUCAUGUAGUUAGCACAUCACAGGUCCAGUGUUAGAAUGUUCUAUUGUGAGUCAGUGGCUGGAUGAAGAUGUGUGUUUGUGUAGAUCAAAUUUGGUUCUGAAUGGUCCGAGUUCAGUGCAGUUUAGAACAUUUACAUGUCACCAAGGGGGCGUGUCUCGAUACAAUAUUCAUGAUCUGGUGCAUGAUAGACACAUUUAAAGCAUCCAUGAUGACUUACGAUACAAUUUAGAGCUGUUCUGCUGCAAUACAAUACAGUGCAAUACAGUAAUUGUUAUGUAAAGCAGCACACACACACACAUUAAUAAUAAUGAAAAAAUGCAGUAAUACAUUUGACUGUUCUUAGGCCACACAUCCUUCACUGAGAUUGACAGACAGCCAUACCCUUUUUUUAAAAAAUUGGGACUAAUACUCUCAGACGCCAAGUCUUCUUUAUUAGGACUUCACAAAUAAAAGCCACGCCUCUUUUACUGAGCCUGGCAGGCUCAGAGGCCAUGCCUCCUUUAUUAGGACUGACAUAAACAAAGGCCACACCUCUUACUGAGACUGACACAUUUCAUUCUCUGGGACUGAUGUUCAAUUCAAUUCAAUUUUAUUUGUAUAGCGCUGUUAACAGUGAACAUUGUCGCAAAGCAGCUUUACAGAAAUCCAGAUAUAAAACUUAAAAUUUUUAUCCCUAAUAGGCAAAUAGACACAGAGCCCCACACGGUGGCUUAGUGGUUAGCACAUUUGCCUCACACCUCCAGGGUCCGGGAUUCAAUUCCCACCGGGAAUCGAACAUUCACACACACAUACGUGUGUGUGGAGUUUGCAUGUUCUCCCUGUGCUGCGGGGGUUUCCUCCCCUAGUCCAAAGACAUGUGUGGUAGGCUGAUUGGUGUGUCUAAAGUGUCCGUAGUGUAUGAAUGGGUGUGUGAGUGUGUAUGUGAUUGUGCCCUGCGAUGGACUGGCACCCUGUCCAGGGUGUACCCUGCCUUAUGCCUGAUGCUCCCUGGGAUUGGCUCCAGGUUCCCCUGCGACCCUGAAGAAGGAGUAAGCGGUAGAAGAUGGAUGGCCAUGCCCCCUUUUUUGGGUACUGACAGGCAUAGAUCAUGAAAAUCACAUAUUUCUGAAAUACACUAUAUAGUGCAUUAGGGAGUUUUCUUAUUUUGUCAUCAUGUCUGAAAGCAUAACAGAGAAUAUCCAGAACUCCCUCAGUGCACUUGGUUAGUGUCUAAAUGGUGUACCCUACAGAUUGGGUACAGAUUACCCAUGAUGCACUUUGCGCCAGACUGUGCUGAACUCUGGACAUAAAAUAGCAGGAAAGAGAUUUACAUUUCUUGUAAAUACCUAGCGUACUUUCAUUGCUGUCACAUCAGUAACACAGCCGUAACUGUAGGUUUGUUUCUGUCUCCUGAUUACCGGCAUGUAACUUUAGUUAAAAGACACGAUCGCAGCGAUAACGUACUGACCUGCUGAUUCUGUGCUGAAUCCGAGUCGCUCUGAGUGUAAAAUUAGAUGGUAAAGUGGUUAAAGGAAUCCGUUUUUUAAGUGUGGUUUAAUUCAAACGGUUUUAACACUAAUAUACUAAACUUAUACAGAAUAUAAGCGUAUCAGCUGUAGUAAAAGUACGGGACAUCAGUUUGUGUUAUUUUUUUCUAAACUUUUAAAGGUAGAAAGCAAUCUAGAUUUAAAUCCCUAUUUGUCAUUAAGGACAGGAUCAUCCAGUAGGUUGUAUGUGUUAUGCCAUCUCAUGGUAGAAAUCAUUGUUGUCUUACUGGAAUCAGAUAAUUUAUUUUUUAAUAUCCUCAAUAAAUGGUAUUUUAUUGUUUA